GAUGAGAGCUGCAAGCCUGUAACUCUUCCCCUGUCUUAGCCAUCUGACCCCUGGCCUCGCUCCAUCUAAGCUCCGGAAGCCCAGGCUCCUUUUCCAGAGGCAGAGAGGUCUGAGGCUGGUCAAGAGGCUUAGAGAAGGACAGAGCCGAGGAGCAGAAUAAACAGCCCUUCUUCUCCGGAAAAUGACCCUGCUGAUCCCGGAGUUAAAAAUAGUGGCGUAUUGAUCGUGGGCUGUGCCUAGCCAGCACCAGUUAUCUGAGCCUCACUGGCAGAAGGACCUGUCUGACUCAGCCACUCAGAUGGGGUCGACUCUACAGUAUGCCUGGCGAGGGACGAGAAGGCCUACAGACCACACACAUCCCAGCUUAGCUCUCCCCAGGCCCCCACCUCUGAUCUCUGGAGAACCCGGGACACAGGUUGACCCCUAGAUCUUCCUCAUGGGACUUGGAGCAGGAGCUGGGAGCCCUGUCUCCUACAGGAAGGUAUC
rnacentral:lncRNA from 1 species